UACAUAGGGGGCAAGCGUUGUCCGGAUUUAUUGGGCGUAAAGAGCGUGUAGGCGGCCAGGCAGGUCCGUUGUGAAAACUCGAGGCUCAACCUCGAGACGUCGAUGGAAACCGUCUGGCUAGAGUCCGGAAGAGGAGAGUGGAAUUCCUGGUGUAGCGGUGAAAUGCGUAGAGAUGGGGGAGAACACUCGUGGCGAAGGCGGCCAGCUAGACCAGUUCUGACACUGAGGCGCGACAGCGUGGGGAGCAAACAGG
rnacentral:rRNA from 1 species